CCAUCACCAUCAUCAGUGGAUGCCUUUGCUGUCCGUAGCCUGAGAUUUCAGAUUUGCAGCAAAAAAUUUUUGAUUUUCUCAUUUAUUGGAAUGCUGUGCAGGUAUUUGUACCUUGCAGCCAUCCAUUACAAUGUCACCAAGCCGUAACAAAAGCAGGAGAGGGAAAGUACAAGGCUAUGUUCCCAAAACACACAAGUGACAUACCUUAUGUGGAGGAUGUGAUCAGGCUUGUAUUUGAUGAGGUAUUUGAAGAUAAGCUGAAGGAAGCCCUGAUUCCAAUGGACCUGGCAUCACAGUUUGAGAGACCUUCAAAGGAGGACGUGAUUGCAUGCCAUCUUCAGUGCAGGGGUCGUCGAAAGCCAAAAUUGUGACCGAUCUGAUCAGGAAGCUCCAAGCGUAUCUGGAGAACAACACACGGCAGGAUGAUAACCUUAUAGUGUCGUCUUAAAUAGCACCAGCUGACAAAGCUUUGAUAUGCCAUUUAUCUGAAUAGAUAGCUGUAAGAAAUGAAUUGAACAAUUUUUGAAAC